GCCUCAAUAGCUCAGUUGGUAGAAUAUGAGACUCUUAAUCUCAGGGUUGUGAGUUUGAGCCCCAUGUUGAGCA